rnacentral:rRNA from 1 species
GAUGAACGCUGGCGGCGUGCUUAACACAUGCAAGUCGAACGAUGAAGCCGGAGCUUGCUCUGGUGAAUUAGUGGCGAACGGGUGAGUAACACGUGAGUAACCUGCCCUUGACUCUGGGAUAACUGCUAGAAAUGGUAGCUAAUACCGGAUACGACCCUCGGAGGCAUCUUCAGGGGGUGGAAAGAAUUUCGGUCAAGGAUGGACUCGCGGCCUAUCAGCUAGUUGGUGAGGUAAUGGCUCACCAAGGCGACGACGGGUAGCCGGCCUGAGAGGGUGACCGGGCACACUGGGACUGAGACACGGCCCAGACUCCUACGGGAGGCAGCAGUGGGGAAUAUUGCACAAUGGGCGCAAGCCUGAUGCAGCAACGCCGCGUGAGGGAUGACGGCCUUCGGGUUGUAAACCUCUUUUAGUAGGGAAGAAGCGAAAGUGACGGUACCUGCAGAAAAAGCACCGGCUAACUACGUGCCAGCAGCCGCAGUAA